rnacentral:rRNA from 1 species
UACAACGAGAAGCGAACCUGCGAAGGCAAGCGGAUCUCUUAAAGCCGUUCUCAGUUCGGACUGUAGGCUGCAACUCGCCUACACGAAGCUGGAAUCGCUAGUAAUCGCGGAUCAGCACGCCGCGGUGAAUACGUUCCCGGGCCUUGUACACACCGCCCGUCACACCAUGAGAGUCUGUAACACCCAAAGCCGGUGGGAUAACCUUUAUAGGAGUCAGCCGUCUAAGGUAGGACAGAUGAUUAGGGUGAAGUCGUAACAAGGUACC